AACAGGGGUGCCUUUUCCGCAAGGAUUGAAAGACAGGCUGAGAUCAUACCCUUUUACCUGAUCCGGGUAAUGCCGGCGUAGGGAUUGGAUAGA
rnacentral:ncRNA from 1 species